rnacentral:rRNA from 1 species
GACGAACGCUGGCGGCGUGCUUAACACAUGCAAGUCGAACGGAGUGGCGAACGGGUGAGUAACACGUGGGUGACCUGCCCUGCACUUCGGGAUAAGCCUGGGAAACUGGGUCUAAUACCGGAUAGUGUGGGAUGGGCCCGCGGUCUAUCGGCUUGUUGGUGGGGUAAUGGCCGACCAAGGCGGCGACGGGUAGCCGGCCUGAGAGGGUGGACGGCCACAUUGGGACUGAGGCACGGCCCAGAAGCGUACGUGAGGCAGCGGUGGGGAAUAUUGCACAAUGGGCGGGAGCCUGAUGCAGCGACGCCGCGUGGGGAAUGACGGCCUUCGAGUUGUAAACUCCUUUCACCAUCGACGCGGUAGAUGGAGAAGAAGCACCGGCUAACUACGUGCCAGCAGCCGCGGUAAUUC